CUGUGUGUACGCACCGACACUGGCCUUUGAAAACAAUACACCCACAAAAAGUUGACUGAAGUGGGCCAGCUAAGAUUUUUUAAAUGAAAAAAAUCGUCCAGAAAACAGAGUGAAGCAGAGAUAUUAAGCGGAAAGGAAAUGAAUAGCGAACAAGUGCACAAGUGGGGACAAAAAGUACUUUGCCCCGCUUCUUCAUUAGCGAAUCGGCUUAAUCCUUUGAACUUUCCUUGUUCAAACAACCCGAGUGACACAGACAUUAAAAGAGGGACAGCAGACUAAGAUGGAGUGGAAGGGCCACAGCAACACUGGCACAGUGUGGUGAUAAGAGGACGCUGAAGAGAAUGCAGAAAACUGAAGCUUGUCAGAUUGAAAAAAAAAAGCACAUUAACUUGAGAGUUGGCUGGAUUUGUAAAAAAUAAAAUAGCUGGCAAUGGACAGAUGCAAGAUAUACACGGUUACACCCAGUAUCAACAACAAAGAGGAUGUACA